GUUUUGUGUUUGUGUUUUUAUUUAUAUUUCUCUUUGAAUGACCAUAUGUCAAAAAAAAAGACGAGAUCUGGUGUGAACAUGAAGACAAGAGAUCAUGUGGAUGUGAAGCUUCCCAAAAGUGCACUCAUGUUUAUCCGGCAAGUGUGCGAUAUAUUAUUCAUGCAAAAGUGAGCUGCACACACACAGCUGAUAUUUGAUUUGCAUUUCAUUCCACUCGUAUUUUGUUGGGAGACACAAUAUCAAUGCAGAGUAACAUAAUAAAGAGUGUUUAUUAAUCUCCCUGCAGACUCCUUUGUUUUGCAUGAACACCUGCCAGCAGCCCCUCCCUCUAUAGGCGCACAGAGGAGAGACCCGGACAGACAUGAGAGCAGAUGAUUCAGCGUCAGACUUCAUCAUAUGGAAAUAAAAACACGUGGGAGCUGCAGGAUGGAGGCUGUUUGAGUCAGGGAGAGUGGGGUAAGUUGAGCCAAAGGGUAAGUUUGCUUGGAAAUGGUAAAAUAAAUUGAUCAUGUGACCAAAUAUUUAAGCGAUGAGCAUCAAUUCUUGGUGGCACAGUGGUGUAGUGGUUAGCACUGUCCUCACAGCUAGAAGGUCCUGGGUUUGAAUCCUGGUCAGGG